rnacentral:rRNA from 1 species
AUUGAACGCUGGCGGCAUGCCUUACACAUGCAAGUCGAACGGUAACAGGUCUUCGGAUGCUGACGAGUGGCGAACAGGUGAGUAAUACAUCGGAACGUGCCCGAUCGUGGGGGAUAACGAAGCGAAAGCUUUGCUAAUACCGCAUAAGAUCUAAGGAUGAAAGCAGGGGACCGCAAGGCCUUGCGCGAACGGAGCGGCCGAUGGCAGAUUAGGUAGUUGGUGGGAUAAAAGCUUACCAAGCCGACGAUCUGUAGCUGGUCUGAGAGGACGACCAGCCACACUGGGACUGAGACACGGCCCAGACUCCUACGGGAGGCAGCAGUGGGGAAUUUUGGACAAUGGGCGAAAGCCUGAUCCAGCCAUGCCGCGUGCAGGAUGAAGGCCUUCGGGUUGUAAACUGCUUUUGUACGGAACGAAAAGACUCUUUCUAAUAAAGAGGGUCCAUGACGGUACCGUAAGAAUAAGCACCGGCUAACUACGUGCCAGCCGCCGCCGUAA